UACGAAGGGGGCUAGCGUUGUUCGGAUUCACUGGGCGUAAAGGGUGCGCAGGUGGGUUGGCAAGUUUGAUGUGAAAGCCCCGGGCUUAACCCGGGAAAGGCAUUGAAUACUGCUGAUCUGGAGGAUCGGAGGGGGGACUGGAAUUCUUGGUGUAGCAGUGAAAUGCGUAGAUAUCAAGAGGAACACCAGUGGCGAAGGCGAGUCCCUGGACGAUACCUGACACUGAGGCACGAAAGCCAAGGGAGCAAACAGG
rnacentral:rRNA from 1 species